AUUGAACGCUGGCAGCAUGCCUUACACAUGCAAGUCGAACGGUAACGGGCCUUCGGGUGCCGACGAGUGGCGAACGGGUGAGUAAUGCAUCGGAACGUACCUUUCAGUGGGGGAUAACGUAGCGAAAGUUACGCUAAUACCGCAUAUUCUGUGAGCAGGAAAGCAGGGGAUCGCAAGACCUUGCGCUGAUUGAGCGGCCGAUGUCAGAUUAGCUAGUUGGUGAGGUAAAGGCUCACCAAGGCGACGAUCUGUAGCGGGUCUGAGAGGAUGAUCCGCCACACUGGAACUGAGACACGGUCCAGACUCCUACGGGAGGCAGCAGUGGGGAAUUUUGGACAAUGGGGGCAACCCUGAUCCAGCCAUGCCGCGUGAGUGAAGAAGGCCUGGUUGUAAAGACUCUUCGUCCGGGAACGAAAGUACGCAUGGGUUAAGUACCUACGUGCGGAGUGACGGUACCGGCGAUAAGAAGAC
rnacentral:rRNA from 1 species